rnacentral:lncRNA from 12 species
UAGGCACUCACCAUGCCCAUGUUGUUUCAAAACACAGGCAGGAUGGUAACAAUUUCUCUCAUUAUUUGCCAACAUUUUACUUUUUGCACUCACACAGAAGUGUUUCCAGUGAUGCCUCUUCAAUUCAGUACAUCUGCUGCUACUUUGUAAAUUCAAUGAAGUAGCAAGAGUCCCAGAUAUUGGCCUAAGAAAG